rnacentral:snRNA from 1 species
AUACUUACCUGGCAGGGGAGAUACCAUGAUCACGAAGGUGGCUUUCCCAGGGCAAGGCUUACCCAUUGCACUCCGGAUGUGCUGACCCCUGCGAUUUCCCCAAAUGUGGGAAACUUGACUGCAUGAUUUGUGGUAGUGGGUGACUGUGUUCGCACUCAA